GCCAAAUGAUGUAAACCAGAUGACAUUAGCACUCUGUGCAAAGAUGACUCUUAUCUAUCACCCAAUGCUGAUGGCU
rnacentral:snoRNA from 1 species